rnacentral:rRNA from 1 species
AUGGCAUCAGAGCCGGUCGAGCUACCGGACGACGCGCUCGCGGAGGUCCUCCAGCGUCUCCCCCCGCACAUCCUGGCCGAGACCCGGCGGGUCUGCAAGGCGUGGCACGACGCCAUCGACGACCGCCUGCGCGGCAGCCUGCUUUCGCGCUCGGUGCGCGGCAUCUUCAUCAACUUUUCGGGGCAGUACUUCUCGGAGUUUUUCUCCCGCCCGUCGACGGGCCCGGCGAUUGACGGAGGGUUCGACUUCCUGCCUUGCAUGGGCGUCGAGGUCAAGGACCACUGCGACAUGGGCGUCAAGGUCAAGGACCACUGCAACGGCCUUUUGCUUUGCCGCGAGUCGAGCUACCGUGCACUGCCGUGCCCGCGCGAGUACGUCGUCAACCCGGCCACCCGGCGGUGGGCGCGUUUGCCCAAACGCCCCCCGCCGCUCAUGCCAGGAUUCGACCACACCGCCCACCUCGCGUUCGAGCCCGCUGUGUCGCCGCACUACCAGGUCUUUUUGAUCCCACGCGUGCCAUGGCGACUGCCAUCCGACGGAGAAUCCGGCGACGACGAUGACAACCCGUUGCUCGAAUUGGAGUGGCCUCCCGCGUCAUACCUCAUCGAUGUGUUCUCCUCGGUGACUCAGCGAUGGGACACAACAACCUUCCUUCGGGAAGGGGAAGCUGCCGGGAUCGUCGCCGAUAUGCAGUUGGAUUGGCGGUAUGAUCCGUCUCUCUAUCAUGCCGUAUACUGGCAAAGCGCACUCUACAUCCAUUGCCAACAUGGCUAUCUUAUGAGAAUGUCCUUGUCAGAUCACUCGUACAGAGUGAUUAAACUACCAGGUGCCGGUGGAUUGAUAGUAUAUUCCAACCACCAUCUCGGGAGAUCAUCGCAAGGGGUGUAUUGUGCAAUACUUGAUGGCUCAAUACUUGAUGGCUCGAAACGACUUCAGGUUUGGUAUCUCAGUGAAUCGUGCGGUCGAAUAGAAUGGGUGUUAAAACAUGAUACCCGUCUUAAGACCGUCUAUGCUCAAUAG